GAUUAUGGCUCAGGACGAACGCUGGCGGCGUGCUUCAUACAUGCAAGUCGAACGAGAAUCUGGAGCUUGCUUCAGAGGAAAGUGGCGGACGGGUGAGUAAUAUGUAGAGAAUCUGCCCUUGAGCGGGGGACAACAGAGGGAAACUUCUGCUAAUACCCCAUAUGAGCUUAGUUGAAAUACUAAUCUUGAAAACUCCGGUGCUCAAGGAUGAGUCUGCAUCUGAUUAGCUUGUUGGCGGUGUAAUGGACCACCAAGGCGACGAUCAGUAGCUGGUUUGAGAGGAUGAUCAGCCACAAUGGGACUGAGACACCGGCCCAUACUCCGUACGGGAGGCAGCAGGUAGGGUAAUUUUGCGCAAGUGGGACGAAAGCCCUGACGCAGCAACGCCGCGUGAACGAUUAACGCCCUUCGGGGUGUAAAGUUCUGUCAGUAGGGACGAAUUUUGACGGUACCUACAGAGGAAGCACCGGCUAACUCCGUGCCAGCCGCCGC
rnacentral:rRNA from 1 species